GACGAACGCUGGCGGCGUGCUUAACACAUGCAAGUCGAACGCUGAAGCUCAGCUUUUGUUGGGUGGAUGAGUGGCGAACGGGUGAGUAACACGUGAGUAACCUGCCCCCUUCUUUGGGAUAACGCCCGGAAACGGGUGCUAAUACUGGAUAUUCACUGGUCUUCGCAUGGGGGUUGGUGGAAAGGGUUUUUCUGGUGGGGGAUGGGCUCGCGGCCUAUCAGCUUGUUGGUGGGGUGAUGGCCUACCAAGGCUUUGACGGGUAGCCGGCCUGAGAGGGUGACCGGUCACAUUGGGACUGAGAUACGGCCCAGACUCCUACGGGAGGCAGAAGUGGGGAAUAUUGCACAAUGGGCGCAAGCCUGAUGCAGCGACGCCGCGUGAGGGAUGGAGGCCUUCGGGUUGUGAACCUCUUUCGCUCAUGGUCAAGCCGCAACAAUGGUUGUGGUGAGGGUAGUGGGUAAAGAAGCGCCGGCUAACUACGUG
rnacentral:rRNA from 1 species